AGGACGAACGCUGGCGGCGUGCUUAACACAUGCAAGUGGAGCGACGAACCAGGGCUUGCCCUGGGCAGAGCCGCGAACGGGUGAGUAACACGUGGGUUACCUGCCUCGAUGACCGGGACAACCCGAGGAAACUCGGGCUAAUACCGGAUGUGCCCGCAAGGGGAAGGAAGCUUCGGCCUCCGCAUCGAGAUGGGCCCGCGGCCCAUUAGCUUGUUGGUGAGGUAACGGCUUACCAAGGCUUCGAUGGGUAGCUGGUCUGAGAGGACGAUCAGCCACACUGGGACUGAGACACGGCCCAGACUCCUACGGGAGGCAGCAGUGGGGAAUCUUGCGCAAUGCGCGAAAGCGUGACGCAGCAACGCCGCGUGGGGGAAGAAGGCUUUCGGGUUGUAAACCCCUUUCAGUUGGGACGAAGCUUCGACGGUGAAUAGCCGGCCGGAGUGACGGUACCUUCACAAGAAGCACCGGCUAACUACGCGCCAGCAGCCGCGGU
rnacentral:rRNA from 1 species